GGAGAGGUGGCAGAGCGGUUGAAUGUACCUGACUCGAAAUCAGGCAGGCGUUUAUAGCGCCUCGGGGGUUCGAAUCCCCCCUUCUCCGCCA
rnacentral:tRNA from 1 species